AUUGAACGCUGGCGGCAGGCUUAACACAUGCAAGUCGAGCGGGGGAAGGUAGCUUGCUACUGGACCUAGCGGCGGACGGGUGAGUAAUGCUUAGGAAUCUGCCUAUUAGUGGGGGACAACAUCUCGAAAGGGAUGCUAAUACCGCAUACGUCCUACGGGAGAAAGCAGGGGAUCUUCGGACCUUGCGCUAAUAGAUGAGCCUAAGUCGGAUUAGCUAGUUGGUGGGGUAAAGGCCUACCAAGGCGACGAUCUGUAGCGGGUCUGAGAGGAUGAGCCGCCACACUGGGACUGAGACACGGCCCAGACUCCUACGGGAGGCAGCAGUGGGGAAUAUUGGACAAUGGGGGGAACCCUGAUCCAGCCAUGCCGCGUGUGUGAAGAAGGCCUUAUGGUUGUAAAGCACUUUAAGCGAGGAGGAGGCUACUCUAGUUAAUACCUAGGGAUAGUGGACGUUACUCGCAGAAUAAGCACCGGCUAACUCUGUGCCAGCCGCCGCAGUAA
rnacentral:rRNA from 1 species